ACCCUCUCAGGGUCCUACCUGGAGAGUUUCCAGUACUCUACCAGUUUCGACUCCAUGAGGAAGAGUCAAGCAGAGGCCUGCCCAUUCCAUUCCUAGCUUGGCCAGUGGCUAGUGAGUGGAAGGCAAUCUGCUACAAGU
rnacentral:snoRNA from 1 species